rnacentral:rRNA from 1 species
UAAUACGGAGGGGGCAAGCGUUAUUCGGAAUCACUGGGCGUAAAGGGCGUCUAGGCGGUCGGGUAAGUCGUGGGUGAAAGCCCCCGGCUCAACCGGGGAAGUGCCUGCGAAACUGUCCGACUUGAGGUCGGGAGAGGAAAGUAGAAUUCCCAGUGUAGCGGUGAAAUGCGCAGAUAUUGGGAGGAACACCAGCGGCGAAGGCGGCUUUCUGGACCGACCCUGACGCUGAAGCGCGAAAGCUAGGGGAGCGAACGGGAUUAGAUACCCCGGUAGUCCUAGCCGUAAACGAUGGGCACUUGGUGUAGCGGGGUUGAAGACUCGCUGUGCCGGAGCUAACGCAUUAAGUGCCCCGCCUGGGGAGUACGGUCGCAAGGCUG